CCUACGGGUGGCAGCAGUGGGGAAUAUUGCGCAAUGGAGGAAACUCUGAUCCAGCAACGCCGCGUGAAUGAUGAAGGUCUUCGGAUUGUAAAGCUCUUUUCUAAGGGAAGAAGAAAGUGACGGUACCUUAGUAAUAAGCCUCGGCUAACUACGCGCCAGCAGCCGCGGUACUACGUAGGAGGCGAGCGUUAUGCGGAAUGACUGGGCGUAAAGGGUGCGUAGGUGGUUGGGCAAGUUAGUAGCGGAAGUCCAAGGCUCAACCUUGGAACUACUACUAACACUGUUGGACUUGAGUGCAGGAGAGGUAAGCGGAAUGCCUAGUGUAGCGGUGGAAUGCGUAGAUAUUAGGAGGAACACCAGUGGCGAAGGCGGGUUGCUAGACUGUAACUGACACUGAGGCACGAAAGCGUGGGGAGCAAACAGGAUUAGAUACCCGAGUAGUC
rnacentral:rRNA from 1 species